GGUCUGACAGGCCGCUGCCUCCCAUGGCUGGUGCUGAGGCUGACGCCCGGGAUGGGGCGUGGCCUGCGCCUGGAUAAGCUGGCCCUGACAGGGCGCUGCCUCAAGAGCCAGCCCUUUCCUCCAGCUUGGAGCGUAGGCAUGCACCCCUGUGCCACAGUUUGUUCUGUUAUUGUAAAGGAAAAUACAAAUGAAUACCCUACCUUGAAAACUGGAAUUGUGUUUUUCCAACCAAAGAUGCUAUCAAGAGAGGAGUCUUAGUGGGGCAAAGAACUCCUCUCCAAGCUAGGACUGGUUCUCGGCAUGCUGGGAGUGACUAGACACACCAGACUCAAUGGACUGAGCAGGACACAGUUGAAGACACACUGGAUGUGGGACAUUGUGAAUUAGGUUUCCAGCACUUGUGUUACCUGUUAGCAUUCUGUCUUAAGCUCCUCACCACAGUUACCUGGCAACAGCCAGGUGUGCCUGACUCAUUAUAAAAGGGGCUGCUUGCCCCCUCCACUCUCUCUUGUUCUAGCUUUCUUGCUCCAGCUCCUUCCCUCCCCAUUUCCCCACCCUGCCAUUCCCUUUCCCCACCUCUCUCCCUGUGCUCAUAGCUGGCCUCUACUCCACGCCCCCCCCCCGCCUUUCUCUGUCUUUACUCCUCUCAACUCCCUUCCCCAUGCUCUGAAUAAACUAUUCUAUACUAUACUGUAGUCGUGUGGCUGGUCCCUCAGGGGAAGAUAACCAGAUCGUACACCUGACUACACAUUCACCAAACACAUUCCUUCUUUCCUAAUGUUUUUAUAAAACACAGCACUACCAUUGCGUGAGACUGGUUUACUGAUUAAGACUUAAAUGGUUUCAGAAAGCUGGGAUGUUGCAGGUUAAUACCCACCUGUGUAAUUGGCUUAAUAUCCUUGUAACUAUCAGAUAAAAUCCUUUUUGAAUUUGCCAAUAGAUCCCUGGCUUCCACCAACCCACAAGCUGUCAUUGCACAUACUGCACCUAAGGCCUGUAGCACAGUCUUGGCAGAUUUGCCUUUUACCCGAUAUUUUCCCACCAAUGUAUUUGAAAAUCUACUCUAUGACAUUGUUCUGUUGCUAUACAACUUAAUGAAACUUCUACACAUUGAAACACAGUGUUUGGUGUACCAUGAAUCCAACUUCCUGGGCUAUGUUUACUCCUAAUUGGGUCUAGAAUAAAUGAUCUCUUAUGCCUUUUGAGGUCAGAAUUCUGUUUCUAUAUUGUCAAUCCGCUGAAUAUGUUGGACCUAUGAGGCCAGACCAGAGACACAAACCCGUAUAGAGACAGAUGCAGCACAUUAAAUUGUUAUUUUGUCUGAGACUACUCUAGGGGACUCAUCACAGUCUCUGCUCAGGAGAUCACCAGGAAACAAACUUCUAAUUGAUCCUGGGUACAGCUCAAUUGAGCUCCUCUCUGCUGCCACUUGGCAGCCAUCCAGGCACCUUUGUGAUUGGCUUGUUAACCUAAUACCGAGCCAGCAGCCUGGCAGGAUGCACUGCCCUUCCCCGAAUUUCAACUUUCUCCACCUCAUAAACGCAACUGUGUUGAGUAUCAUGAGUAGUUUGAAUGGCACAGACACUGCUGGUUAAGACUAGAAUGGAGAAGUCUGCAAGGUGGCUCCGAAGGUACAGGCAUAUGUCCCUGGGCCUGAAGACCCAAGUUUGAUCCCCAGGACCCACCCGGGGACUGCUUGAGCACGUGCACACAUACAGUAAAUGGUUUUUGAAGCUUGGGAAUCUCGAUACUCUAAAUUCUGACAGCUUUGGGGAAGAAGCUGCUGUUCGUGAGCUAGACCACUGAGGAUCACAAACUUGAGAGCUGUGCUGUGGAGUUGCUACAGAGGUGGAGGGGAGAGCCAGGUCCAGAGCUGGAGUGGAUGGGAGGACAGACAGUAGGUCCAGAUGAGCAAACCACAGGACAGCGAAAAGCAGGUCGUUGGGUCACAUCAGUAGCAGUAGCAUGGACUGAUCUGAGUUAGGCCCCAGGGACAGUUGUGGGUUCUUUGCCUGUUUUUGACACAGGUUUGGUAUCAAAUGAGAGGUCAGGAGUAAUGUUGUGCCCAAUCCAACCAAUGUUGGGUACUGUCCUCUUUAUAGAGAACAAGUGGGGGAGUUAUAUACCCUGCUCUUGACCUGGUAUGUCCAGUACAUUCUUGGGCCUGGUUUUUCCUGUUAUGAUUUAAAUUCAAUCAUGUGAUCCUACAACCACAACUCACAUUGAUAACUUACAGGGUAACACCCUUUCCACUCCCAGGAAUAACUCAUUUAUUGUUUUGUCUGAGUCAGGGCCUUUCUAUGUAGUCCUGGCUGUCCUGGAAGUUAAUACAUAGACCAAGCUGGUCUCAAACUCACAGAGAGCCUCCUGCUCUGCUUCCUAAGAGGCAGAAUUAGAAGUGUGCAGUGCUGUGCCUGGUUUAGGAAUAAGUCAUUUGUCAAUGUGUUCUGCAUGGAUGGUGCCGGACAAUGGUGUUUGUGCCCGUCCAGAUUCACAGUCGUCCUGCAUCCUCACCUCACAAUGGAGGCAAAAGCUGCUUAUAAGGUAGUCUUAGGGUAUUUGUCACCCGGAAACCCAUUGUGUUUUAUACUGUGGAGUAACUAAGAGCAGACCUGAUUUCAAUACAUGGCUUGCUUAUAGCUCUGUAAAGUGACAUUGAAGAAGGUUGAGAAAGACACCAGUACCCUAGAGCCUGAGGUAGUGGGAUAGUGAGGUUGAGGCCUAUCUGAGCGCCAAAGCAAGACCUUGUAUUUAAAAAAAAAAAAUUAAAGGAAAGAGAAGGAGAAAUAAUGAAGAAAAGAAAGAUCAGUGUUUGCAGCAGUAACAAGAACCACAAAUAGACAAAACAGGAAACGUGAGAACCCCCUCUCGGCAUUAGACUAUCAAAGAUUGCUUAGCUGGAGCCACACAGUCAUUAACGAGGAAAAAACGUGACUCCACCCCCCCCCCUCCAGCAGGCACUCUCUACAAACACUCAGGC
rnacentral:lncRNA from 1 species